UGAGCACAUUGCAAAAGUUUUGCCUGAUA
rnacentral:piRNA from 1 species